AAACCUGAAACUUGAAGGAUGGAAGGAGUUUGCAGUGAGAUGUCGCCCCCAGACAGCCUCUGUGUGUAUUGAGAGAAUAAAACCAUCAAACUAUCAACAAUUACAGGACAAAGUAUGGCAUUUGAUCAACACGGCUCCAAGGAAUGCUGGGAAGGCUUUGAGAUUCUGUGGUGACACCAUAAAACAACACAAAGGCAUGUGAGAAAUUGAAAGUCAAAUGCUUGAGCUGAAGGAGAAGGUGAUGACAUGUUGCAUUGUGACUGAUUAUUCUGAAAGUCUAAUUUUGUGAAUGACAGACUGAUAAGGAAAGCGAUUAGUACAUAAACAUUUGACUUUUUUUAUUAGUAAAAAGUCAAUCAGCAAUUGGCGAUGCUCCUGGAGUGAUGACACAACGCUGAGAAUUAAUGUGACAUGACCGCAUUUACAGUGAGAUCAACACACUUUGAACACAUCUCUUGUUAUUGUCAGGAAAAUCAGCUUUUUGUUUUCUUUUCCUGUUUCUAUUCUUUGGCUUUGUGGCUUCUUCCCUCUCACGCUCUCUCCUUAUCACGUCUACACAUAUGUUGACCUUACAAAUAACUUCGUUAUCACCUUAAAGCACUUUCUAAUUUCUGCCGAUAUUGCAGUUAAUCAGUAUAUCAGUUAAUCAGUAUGGCGCCAUUAGUGAUGAAAGUCCAAGUGCCAUGUUAAACAACUGGAAAAUUAAUGACAUUUAUUACCAGACCAGAGAUGCAUCAAACUAGUCACAUCACAUUAAUCACGCCACACAAAUUGAUGCAUCAUGAAUUGCCUCUGUGCUGAAAUUAAAAGAUUAUUAUUAUUUUUUUAAAUAAAUUUUUGAUAGCCCCACACUAUAAAUUGUAUUGAUUACAAAAAAAGACUUUGAAAUGUUACAUUAAAAACAUGUUAGUUGAUUAACUGUUAGAUACCUUGCCAUAUAUGGUGAAAAACUGUAAAUGUGUCAAGAUUGAAUUGUAUGUAAUGUUAUUGUAAAAUACUUUCAUAUGUAUGCUUUUUGGAAGCAUACACUAUGGAUGGCCAUGUAAAGUAUGAUUAAAAAUAGUAAAAGUACA